rnacentral:rRNA from 1 species
AUUGAACGCUGGCGGCAGGCCUAACACAUGCAAGUCGAGCGGAUGAAGGGAGCUUGCUCCUGGAUUCAGCGGCGGACGGGUGAGUAAUGCCUAGGAAUCUGCCUGGUAGUGGGGGAUAACGUCCGGAAACGGGCGCUAAUACCGCAUACGUCCUGAGGGAGAAAGUGGGGGAUCUUCGGACCUCACGCUAUCAGAUGAGCCUAGGUCGGAUUAGCUAGUUGGUGGGGUAAAGGCCUACCAAGGCGACGAUCCGUAACUGGUCUGAGAGGAUGAUCAGUCACACUGGAACUGAGCCACGGUCCAGACUCCUACGGGAGGCAGCAGUGGGGAAUAUUGGACUAUGGGCGCAAGCCUGAUCCAGCCAUGCCGCGUGUGUGAAGAAGGUCUUCGGAUUGUAAAGCACUUUAAGUUGGGAGGAAGGGCAGUAAGUUAAUACCUUGCUGUUUUGACGUUACCAACAGAAUAAGCACCGGCUAACUUCGUG